CGCGGCCUAUCAGCUUGUUGGUAAGGUAAAAGCUUACCAAGGCUAUGACGGGUAUCUGGUGUGAGAGCAUGACCAGACACAAUGGAACUGAGACACGGUCCAUACUCCUACGGGAGGCAGCAGUGAGGAAUCUUCCGCAAUGGGCGAAAGCCUGACGGAGCGACACCGCGUGGAGGACGAAGGCCUUUUGGUUGUAAACUCCUUUUCUGAGGGAAUAAAUGAUGAAGGCACCUCAGGAAUAAGCACCGGCUAACUACGUGCCAGCAGCCGCGGUAAUACGUAGGGUGCAAGCGUUAUCCGGAAUUAUUGGGCGUAAAGCGUUCGUAGGUGGUUUAAAAAGUCUAUGGUUAAAUCUGGUCGCUCAACGAUCAAAUCGCUGUAGAAACUUUUAAACUGGAGGAUGGCAGGGGCAACUGGAAUUCCGUAUGUAGGGGUAAAAUCCGUUGAUAUAUGGAGGAACACCAAAAGCGAAGGCAGGUUGCUGGGCCAUUCCUGACACUGAGGAACGAAAGCGUGGGGAGCAAACAGGAUUAGAUACCCUGGUAGUCCACGCCGUAAACGAUGGAUACUCGAUGUAGGGAGGAUUCGACCCCUCUCUGUGUCCAAGCUAACGCGUUAAGUACCCCGCCUGGGGAGUACGG
rnacentral:rRNA from 1 species